GGCGGGGAGAAAAGAAAGAAGGCUUCUGAUUCUCUGCCUGUCAGUUACAUAAAAUGAACCGUUCAAAAUAUUUGCUCCACAACAACAUCCAACUGUUCCACUUUCCAUAAACCAGUAUUUUUCCAACCAACAAUAGCCAAUCAGAUGCCUCCAGGAGGCCCACAAGCAGGGCACAAAGGCAGCUGCUUCUGUUCCCUGGCAACUGGCACUCAGGGACAAGUUGCCUCUGAAUCUUGAACAAUGGAACCAAUGCUAUCUAUUAGUGUAUUCUGAAAUAGGCUCAGCACCAUCCUGCUGUAUCAGGUCAAGGCUCCCACUUAAUCCAGUGUUCCAAUGACUGCCUGCCUGGGGCUGGUGGGAGUUGUAGGGGGAGAGAAUCAGACCUGGCUUAGAAGAUCCAGUUGGUACCCACACAGAGAAUGGAUGUUGGGGAAAUGAGACUUUUGGGAGGUGAUGUUGGACCAGAACAAGUGAAGGGAGGUGGAUAUUGAGAGAAACUAGGAAACGUUACUGGAAAGGGCCACUGCAGAGGUGGAGAGUAGGACACAGUGUGAUUUGAGUCAAGGAGAAUCUGGAUCCAGAUGCACAGCACAGCCACGUGAGGUUCAUUCAUUACUGGGUGUUGUCUAGGGUAGGAGUUGCUUUCUCUUUGCCAGGAUUUACUCCAUGGGCUUGCUGGAUGGAACUCCCUGUUGACAUCUUGUGAAUGAGGCUGAGAUAUAAAGAUGAUUACUGCAAAUAGCCCAUCUGGCUUUAGGCAGGGUAGAAAGCAGGGCCGGCCCAACCAUGAGGCAGACUGAGGCAGCUGCCUCAGGUGGUGAAAUCCAAGGGUGCGCCCCUGCUGCUGGAGAAGUAGCUGCGUUGUCUUCUGGGUUCUGGUGAGAUCUUGCGAGAGCCCCAUGAAAUUGUGCAGAGGCCUCAUGCAGUGGCGUAGCGUGGGGGGUGCAGGGGGGGCCGGCCGCACCGGGCGCAACAUAUGGGGGGGGUGCGCUCGCACUCGCAGCUCUCUGCCCCUACCUGGCUCACUCACUCUCUCUCACUGCAGUGCUGGCUGUGCGAAUCCGAUCCGAGCCGCUGGGUCACCGCCCACUGUGGAGGGUGGGUGCCAGGCGUGCGGUGCGGAGAGAGAGCGAGGGACUAUCUGGGGGAGGGACAGUGCAGCGGCCGCCCAGCGCAGCGCUGAGCGCGGGAGAGAACCACACCAGACCAGACCAGGCAGCAGCAAGAAGAAGCUGGCAGCGGCGGCAGGUUAGGGGCUGGGGGCGCAAAUUACUUGCCUUGCCCCAGGUUAGGGGGCGCAAAUUACUUGCCUUGCCCCGGGUUAGGGGGCGCAAAUUACUUGUCUUGCCCCAGGUGCUGACAACCCACGCUACGCCGCUGGCCUCAUGUGACCUUCCUGAGACCCUGGCGAGUGAGCUUUCAGCAGGUGGGGAACAUGCAGGUUCCGAGCCUCAGAUGGCGAAAUGGGACGGGCUGUCCCUGGUAGUGUGUGUGACAGAGCGCCACUAAAAAGCAACAGCCACGAUUCCUGGAGGAAUGUUUUGAGGAGUAUAUGGAAAAACAUUGCUCUAAAAAGAGUAUGUUGAUAUGAAUGGAUUAAGUAUGUAAAGUGUAAGCGAGAACAAUAAUUAGAAAUGGCUAUAAGAGAUGUAUUAUCCAAAGAAUGCAAGGUUAGUAUUUAAAUUUGAGCUAAAGGAAGUUGAGCCGGGUUGGAGGGAAGUCACAGGGGUAUGUAGGGUUUAUGUUUGCAGGGCAGAGGGUACAUGUAUUUUCUUUAGUUUAAUUUUGUAUUAGUAUUUGUUUACUUUACUUUGAUUUUCUGUGUCAUUUAUUAAGAAAGAAAGAAAGAAGCAAGCAACAGCCACAAUUCCUUUCUACAAAU
rnacentral:lncRNA from 1 species